UGUUGCAGUCGACAGGAGAAAGAAGCAGAGAAUGGGGGUGAUGGUUCGAGGAGAGGGAUUUGGUUCCCUGCAAAGUCUCCACGAACAGAGCUCUUGCACCGUUUGUGCGAUGGCUUUCACAAGGCAUGCAUAGAGCAGCAGUACCACCAUCUCGACCUCAUAGACCUGCUGCGAGAGCUGAUAAUGAUCCCGCAGCUGCUAUGCCAAUAAAUGAAGAUGCAGUUCCAGAGAGACAAGAGAAUCAAACUGAUAACUGGAAACGAGCAAAUGAAAAUGAAGAUGUCGAUGCAGAGAACCAAGGGAAUCAAUGGUGGAAAUUAGUGAAAGAGAUUCAAAUUAUAGUUUUUGGCUUCAUAAAUUGCACUUCUAUUGUAAUAUGUAUUAAUAUUUGUAUUAUGUUUUGUAUGUUUGAAAAUUAAUUAA